AUCGAACGCUGGCGGCAUGCCUUACACAUGCAAGUCGAACGGCAGCACGGGAGCAAUCCUGGUGGCGAGUGGCCAACGGGUGAGUAAAGUAUCGGAACGUGCCCAGUCGUGGGGGAUAACGUAGCGAAAGUUACGCUAAUACCGCAUACGAUCUAUGGAUGAAAGCGGGGGAUCGCAAGACCUCGCGCGAUUGGAGCGGCCGAUAUCAGAUUAGGUAGUUGGUGGGGUAAAGGCUCACCAAGCCGACGAUCUGUAGCUGGUCUGAGAGGAGGACCAGCCACACUGGGACUGAGGCACGGCCCAGACUCCUACGGGAGGCAGCAGUGGGGAAUUUUGGACAAUGGGCGAAAGCCUGAUCCAGCCAUGCCGCGUGCAGGAUGAAGGCCUUCGGGUUGUAAACUGCUUUUGUACGGAACGAAAAGGUUUGGGCUAAUAAGCUGAGCUCAUGACGGUACCGUAAGAAUAAGCACCGGCUAACUACGUGCCAGCAGCCGCAGUAA
rnacentral:rRNA from 1 species